rnacentral:rRNA from 1 species
GAUGAACGCUGGCGGCGUGCCUAAUACAUGCAAGUCGAGCGAACGGACGAGAAGCUUGCUUCUCUGAUGUUAGCGGCGGACGGGUGAGUAACACGUGGAUAACCUACCUAUAAGACUGGGAUAACUUCGGGAAACCGGAGCUAAUACCGGAUAAUAUUUUGAACCGCAUGGUUCAAAAGUGAAAGACGGUCUUGCUGUCACUUAUAGAUGGAUCCGCGCUGCAUUAGCUAGUUGGUAAGGUAACGGCUUACCAAGGCAACGAUGCAUAGCCGACCUGAGAGGGUGAUCGGCCACACUGGAACUGAGACACGGUCCAGACUCCUACGGGGGGCAGCAGUAGGGAAUCUUCCGCAAUGGGCGAAAGCCUGACGGAGCAACGCCGCGUGAGUGAUGAAGGUCUUCGGAUCGUAAAACUCUGUUAUUAGGGAAGAACAUAUGUGUAAGUAACUGUGCACAUCUUGACGGUACCUAAUCAGAAAGCCACGGCUAACUACGUG